UACGUAGGGUGCAAGCGUUAUCCGGAAUUAUUGGGCGUAAAGAGCUCGUAGGCGGUUUGUCGCGUCUGCUGUGAAAACCCGAGGCUCAACCUCGGGCCUGCAGUGGGUACGGGCAAACUAGAGUGCGGUAGGGGGAGAUUGGAAUUCCUGGUGUAGCGGUGGAAUGCGCAGAUAUCAGGAGGAACACCGAUGGCGAAGGCAGAUCUCUGGGCCGUAACUGACGCUGAGGAGCGAAAGCGUGGGGAGCAAACAGG
rnacentral:rRNA from 1 species